AGAAAAUAAGAGGAAAACAUAUUCCCUUCGUUGAGCGGAUACAUAAUCACGCCCAAAAACAUCGAACAGGAUUAACAUCAAACAUAGUCACGACUCUGCAAGCCUACUUCGACCAGAUCUCGAUCAUCUUUUUCCCUUCGUUGAACGGAUGUAGAAUUGUGCCAAAUCCCACAUCGAACAGGAUUAACAAAGUCGCGACUCUGCUAGCCUACAUCGAUCAGGUCUCCAUCAACUUUUUCCAGAGAUAAAUCCUCUUUUUCCCCAGGUUCAAGAUUGUUGCAAAAAUUUAUCAUCUCCUUCAAUUUCUUGUCUUUUUUGCAAAAAAAUCUGCUUACCAGCUAGAUAAUUUUUUUAUUUUGGAGAAGGAACUAUCUGAACUAGAGGUUGCAACCGACUGGUAAUUGAACAAGAUGACGAUGAAGAUGUGCGACCUUAUAUUGAGUAUUUUAUGUAUGGUCAAAACCAUUCUGCAACCCAACCUUAUAUUGAGCAGUUGAUGGAUAAUCAGAACUCUUCUGAAGACCACGUACAUGAUGAUCAAUCUUAUGAUUUAAAUAGUUCUGCUGGUGGUACUGAAGUUCAACAAAAUGAUGAUGAAUCAGGUAAUUUGGAGCCAAGAAAGGUUCGUGGGCCUACUUUACUAAAAGAUAUUUGGAAACUUCCUCCGGGGAAGGUAGUUCAUGUGCCGUUUAAUAAUCGUAACCAAGCUAUUAGGGAAAAAGGUCGAAAGCUUGCUAGCUUUCUAGGAAUCAUUGCGAGAACUCCAGAACUAACACCUUUACAUGUAGAUGAUUGGAGAAAUUUUGAAAAGGAGGAAAAGAAGAAAUUGGUGGAUUUUGUGAGGGUAUGGAGUAGUUAUUAUUAUUAUUAUUAUUAUUAUAUGAAUGGGUUCAAUCUUUUAUACAUGAUAUUUUUUUCAAAAUAUUGGCUUUAUUUUUUUAGAAGAAGUUCUCUAUCCCAAGACGAGGAGAAACUUAUGUCCUAAAGCCACUAGGAAAGAAAUGGAAAGAUUACAAGUGUGAGUUAAAAGGUGAAUAUUUGCAAAAAAUAAGACUAAAGACCUUUUGCUGAAAAAUAGACCAAGUCGCAUACCGAGGGAUCAAUGGAGUGGUCUUGUUCCUUAUUGACUUUCAGAAAAAGCUAAGGUAUUAACAAAUUUUUAAAACACCUCUAGUUGAUUAUUUUCAGUGUUUUGAUUUUAGUUAUGCUCAAUUUUUAUGUAUAAUUUAUAAGAUAUAAUUUUAAUAUUUCAACGAAAGAGGCGUUCCCAAGCAAAUAGAAAUAAUAGGGCCAAUCAAAAGAUGUGUCACACAGGAGGAUCCAAAAGUAUUGCUACCUUGAUGGAUGAGCAGGCUGUAAAUGGGAUAGAGCCUACACGAGCACAAGUUUUCAUAUUAACUCAUACAAAACGUAAGGAUGGUAGACCACUGGAUGAUGAUUCUGUCAAGGCAAUUGAAAUGAUAAAUGAAAAGGCGAACAAUAGUGAGAGCUCUACUGACCAACCUCCUCACGUUGUUGCUUGGGAAGGCGAUCUGUAUUCUCAGGUGUUCGGAAAUGACAAAAGUGGAUAUGUUCGUGGUUUAGGACUUGGUCCAACUCCUUCUAUUCUAUGGGGUAGUAGAUCUUCCUUAGAAAAUAUUGUUGGAGAGGAUUCGUCUAAUGAAGCUGUCCAAAGGUUAACACAAGAGAUAACCGAGUUAAAGGAUAAACACAAUGAAGAAAUGAAUCUGAUAAAAUAAAAUCAGGAGAAGAUACAAUCAGAAUUACUCGAAAUGCGACAAUUGAUACGCAAAUAUGCUUCCAAUGAAUCUAUGCCUCAAAAUAUCAAUGGCACCUCAAUUAAACAGGUCCCUGUUGCCAAUAGUGGCCAUGAACGAGUACCACAAAUAUCAAGGAUACCUAAUGAUGCUGAAAAUACUUCAAUGUCUCAUGGUCAUAGAGUCUGAUGUUCGAUAAUUUAGGGGGUGGAAGAUUUCAAUAUGACGAAGAGUUUCAGAGAUUAUUUGAAGAUUGUUAUUCGUUAAGAUUAGUUAUAAAGUGACAUUAGCUAUUUACUUCAAACAAUAUGAGUUAUUUUUUAAAGUUUUGUGAUAUUAAAAUUUUGGAUUAGUACUUCCUUUUGUUUGUUAAGAUUUA